rnacentral:rRNA from 1 species
UACGGAGGAUGCAAGCGUUAUCCGGAAUGAUUGGGCGUAAAGCGUCCGCAGGCGGCAAUGUAAGUCUGCUGUCAAAGCGUCUGGCUCAACCAGAUAAAGGCAGUGGAAACUACAUAGCUAGAGUAAGGUAGGGGUAGAGGGAAUUCCUGGUGUAGCGGUGAAAUGCGUAGAGAUCAGGAAGAACACCGGUGGCGAAAGCGCUCUGCUGGACCUAAACUGACACUGAGAGACGAAAGCUAGGGGAGCAAAUGGG